rnacentral:lncRNA from 1 species
GCCAAAAGGAAGCAAAAGAUAAUAAAUGAUUAGGUAAUCAUUUGUCUAUUUAAGCAAAACUCGUGCAUGCUUUUUAUUAUGUACUAGGGCCUAAUAAAAAAUGAGUGCCAUGAAGAUGUCUAGACAAAUUAUGAAGGUCUUUGGAGUGUUUGAGAUCUUAUAUCGAAAUUCAUUUCUGCGAUUUUCUAGCUAGAUUAAGUGCUAGCUCCUCACAUUUUAAUUUUCUCACCUAGAAAAUAAGAGUAGUGGAGUUAAGGGACUUAGUGAGAUUUCACUUAAAACACAUUGAAGAAUUCUCUUGACAUAUAUCAAUUUUCAUACAUUAUUACGGUUUUGUGAUAAGGGUAUUGAUGGGAAUGCUGUAGUUGCUCUCACCUGCUAAAGUUGCUGUAGCCUGCUAAAGGUGGCUGAUGGAGACCUGCGUGAUGCGUAAACACCUCACAAGGGCUCCAAAUUCCAGAGGAUUCAAUGUAGUUAAAUGAAGUGUACCCAGAGGAAACGGAGCAUCUAAGUGUUUCUUGGGAGAGCAAAAGGCCUCUAGUGGUGAUAAGGUUCAGGAUGAAUUCCAUGCUACAAAACAAAGAGUUCUGGAUGGACCUGAAGUACCUGGGACUCUUGAGCAUCAGGCGCUGCCCUGUUAGAGCCGGUGGCUGCACAGAGACCUUUUUUGCUGUUUAAAGAGAAG